rnacentral:lncRNA from 1 species
AUGCUUCUUGUGAAUUAUUUGCCCUAGAUCUAUGCUCUGAAUGUCUUCUACUUCAAAUUACAGGAGCUGUCCUCCUUCCUGGACGUUAGCUUAUGAGGUGGGGAAAUUCUUAAAGAUACAACAAACAACAGGCAAAACUCCUGUGAACUUCGGUGAGAGAAUUAAGUCCUGUUUGCUAGCUUCCCCAGUGUAAAUGCUCUCAGCAAAAGGAAGAAACAUGCAAAUUUCAGUCAGAGCAUCCUACCCAAGAUCUGCCUCCAGCCACAGGAUUUUUGCAUCACAGGACCUGAUUUGCAUACUAUCUUCUUUGGAAUACCAGACAACCCCAAGACAUUUUUGGAAACAAAAGUGUGAAGGUCAUCCUGGACUGGAUUUCCCAGGAUCAAGCUAUCUGAAGAACUAUUGGUGCUAUAUAAUUCCCCAGAUUCAACAUGUUCUGUUUAGCUGCUGACAAAGUUAUCUUUUCCUCUCUUUCCGGUGAGAUUGAGAUGCUUUAUAGUACAAUAUAGACCUUGUAGUGCAAAAUUCAAAGAAUCUUUAAAUAAGUCUAUUUUACUAGGACAUCCCCCCAAAUGCAAGUGCAAAUACAGCAUAUUAGGCAAAUUAGGGACAAGAAUGAUUCUCAGGGAAAUGAUCAUACAAUGUCUUGUCUACAAUACCAGGGAUUCUGGUCCUCUUGUCCUAAGACAUGGUAUAUAGGACUAGAACAACAAAAGCGGCUUUGAUUCAGCACUGCUUCUGGGUUUUGCUGCUGCAGGACAAGUGUGCCUUCACAAGUGCACUCAUGUUAUUCCACAGUUCAUCAAGAGGUACAUGACAUCUGCAGCAAGUACUGCUGUGGUAAUUCAGCAGGUGAUCAGAGAUUAAGACAAACCCAUCUUUUUAGAGCAGGACGCUCUGGUAUUUCACAGAGAAUAAGAUAAGAACAGGGUAGAGGCCAGGCUUGGAUGUACAGGGAUGUUCUAAAUAGCAGCAGGGAACCCUGGUAUGAACUUCUGGAAUGUAGUGUUCUGGUAAAAUAAAAUUAUUGCCAGCAGAUUCA